ACGCUCGACACCUACGGGAGGUAGCAGUGGGGAAUAUUGCACAAUGGGGGAAACCCUGAUGCAGCGAUGCCGCGUGAAGGAAGAAGUAUCUCGGUAUGUAAACUUCUAUCAGCAGGGAAGAAAAUGACGGUACCUGACUAAGAAGCCCCGGCUAACUACGUGCCANNCGCGAGUAUNGNGGCGGNGUGACGAGC
rnacentral:rRNA from 1 species